UAUCUACGACAAAGGGAGGGAGAAACUCUUGCCGCAGCUUCCUGCUUGCAGGCUGGAGCGCGGGUGACUCGAGAGCACCUCUGACGUAACCCUCUCCUUGCUGCUCCUGGGAGAUCCCACCCCGUCCGCCGGUAGUUUCCAAGCUUGCAGCGAGCUCUAUAAGAGCGAGAUGCCGGUCCGGGGAAGCGUAGCCCUGGAGCCUGCGCCAGCCGUGCCCGGUGAAGCGAUGCUGCGAGCUGCCAUGCUCAUCCUUCCACCCGCUCGUGUCUAUCACUACAAACCAGGGUGGACUUCACCUUCGCUUCUUACAAGCAAACAGGGAUUCCAAUUUCGAAAACCAAAAAUAAGCCAUGGGUCUUUUUCCCAAUUGGUCUGCUUCCAUGGGUAGAGCCCACGGCCCAGCUGGGAGAUCCGAUACCAACAGACGCCUUGCUGACACUUUGCCUCUCUCCUUUUUGCACCAUUCCUCCCCAUUUCCUGGGGAAAGCACCACCCUGAAUGGCGAGGCCCAGCUGCUAGCAGGGUUUGGGAAGCGUUGAGAACAAGGAAAGCGGCAGGAGAGACACGGGAGAGACCGUGGCACAGCAUGAGCAGCAAUGUUAUCCGCUCUCCAGCUGGAGUGGGACGCUGCAGCCGGGAAGGCAGGGGAGCUCUGCUCUUCACUUCCUCGACGUAGCGUUUCAUGGUUGGGAGGUACCAAAUAACUCCCGUAAAAACGCUGUCCCGGGUAUGUUCUGCUUUAUGCUUCUGAUGGGACAGGAGGUUUGGUAUUUCUGUAAUUGGUAUUUCUGCAAUAUGUUUGCUGUCUUAUCUUGUCCAAAACAACAAAAUAAAGAACACUUAAUAGA